UACGGGGGGGGCAAGCGUUGUUCGGAAUUACUGGGCGUAAAGGGCUCGUAGGCGGCCAACUAAGUCAGACGUGAAAUCCCUCGGCUUAACCGGGGAACUGCGUCUGAUACUGGAUGGCUUGAGUGUAGGAGAGGGAUGCGGAAUUCCAGGUGUAGCGGUGAAAUGCGUAGAAAUCUGGAGGAACACCGGUGGCGAAGGCGGCAUCCUGGACUACUACUGACGCUGAGUGAGCGAAAGCCAGGGGAGCAAACGGG
rnacentral:rRNA from 1 species